rnacentral:misc_RNA from 1 species
AGAUUUUAAAAUUCUUGAGAUAUACCUCUCACAAUUUUUCGUGGAUAUUAAUUCUUCACACUUAUUACGAAUCUACAGUACAUCCCCAUAUGUCAUUCGUGUAUUUGAAUAAAAUGUGAAUGUAUAGCUUCGAGAAUGCACUUUAUCAAUUCUAAGCAAACUUGGUUAAAAUUGAUUUCUGCCAAAUAUCAUACAUGUUAAAUAUAGCAUAUUUACAGUAUUUUUAAAACCAAUACAAUGUUAACAUUAAUUCCACACAAUUCUCAGUGACCUAUUUUUGUUAAUUGUUAUGGUACUGACGUUUGUAAAUAUGCAGUGUAUUUAUCAUAUUUUGUAUACAUUUUAUUAACAAUUGUAAACCUAGUAUAUGUACCUCAUGUACUGUCAUAUUGAUGGUGUGAGUGAAUUAAAUCAAAUUGAAUUGUGUAGAAUACAAAGGGUAUGGUCUGUCUUGUUCAUUGUUGUCUGUUCUUCCAGCUGUGAUAAAUGAAAUAGUCUUAGUUUUCACAUUAUAUUUAACUAAUACACUUUGUUAUCAAGUAAAUCAUCAGUCAUAUUUGAUUUCUAUUUUGAUAUUAUUUUCUAUGUUGAACUUUUUAUCUUGCCUGCAUUUUUUUCCACAAUAAAAGAUUGUUAAUUGUGU